AGGUUCCCGGUCUCAGGAGUUCAAACAAGGAAACGGUGGGAGAGUCCAGUAAGAGGUGGUCUUGCCGGAAGGUGACUGUGGCAGUAGAAACCAAAGCAGGAGCCAGGUGGUAAAGAAAACUCAGAGGAAAGAGGAGGUAACUGCGUUCUAUGAGUAGAGGCAGCACGUUGCGAAAACGGUGCUGUUGAGUUUCCAGGGCUGGCCAAGCCCACAGCUGCUGCCAGGUCUGCGCUUCCCCGGGGCUGGGAUGUUUAGACCUUCCUGGAUUUCUGCGUCUGCAGCGUCUUAGUGUUUCUUGAGGCAAAACAUUGUGGAGAUUCUGGAUUUUAUUAUCUUCCUCUGAAGAGAGUUGAGUUUUGUUCCAGCAGGCAGUUAAAUUACUGUUCCGGAAGUCAUUUCCUAUUGGGCAUGCGCUGCUCUAGACCCUGGGAACAGAUCGAGGACCAAAAG
rnacentral:lncRNA from 1 species